UAAAAGCGCUGAAAUCGCAUGAAAUAAUGCGAUUUUGGGUAAUCGGGAGGGCUUUUAUGCAAUUUGAUUUGUCGUAGCUGCUGUUGGCAGCAUGGGUGAGCUGUGGGUGACCUCUGGACUGAUGGUCCAAGGCCCCGGACCUUUGCGAAGAUCGGAAAUGUAUUUCCGGUGCGUUUGUCGGCAAAAUCCGCCGACGGAACGCGGUUUUGGUUCGGAAUUAUUCCGACGGUGCUUCGUGAGUUAUUGUGUGGUUGCUGAGCCUCAUUGGCUGGUCACUCGCAUCAUUUCGAGAGUUUAGAAAUGACGGGUGAGCGACGGUGGGUUCCGGUGUCGAAAUAGACACUUCCGGGAACCCGGUUCGGAACGAUUAUCCGACGAUAAUCGUUUUGGAGUGAGUUAAGGUCUUUGCUGCCAAGUCACAUGUAAAUUGUAUUUAGUGGCAGCGGGUGACUCGUAGUACGAGUCGGUGAGUUCCGGGACAGUCCGUGGGUCCCGGCAGAGUCUCGGUGCGGUUU
rnacentral:lncRNA from 1 species